GCCAGGCCUUGUGGCCCUUCGUAUCCCACCUCACAUUGCAAUAGAACCAUCAUUUUUAUGGUGCUUCAUAGUUGAUGAAGGGCCCRUCACUUUCCCUCAGGAUUGCUCCAUUGCUAUUUUAGUGACAUUAGCUUACCCUUCCUGUGAGAUUUUGUAACUUUCUUACCUGGUAGAAACUGCAAAUCCUUUUCUUUCAUUUUCCUCUCCUUUUUAAGUCAAGGGCUCCUAUUGGAGGGUGGCUAGCUGGGCAGUAAGUGGAAUGUGGUGGGUCAGAGGGGCAGUCCAGUUGAAAACUCCUGAAGCCUGGAAGCCUCCAUCCUCCCCAUSUCUGUCACCCAGGCAAGAGAGAGCAGCCAAGCUGGGCCGAGGGUUAUUUUUAAUCUCAAAAUGUAGUAUAUGAGAACAACAGCCCUCAUCCUGGGAGGACCUGCCAAGAGACUGCAGACCCUGAGGAGGUGUCAGAAGGCAGCUGCUUCACAUUGCCCUCGGAAGCCAGAGCUGGGAUGAAGUUAUGAGACCUACCACAGGCUUGAGGUGAGAAUUCAGCAAGACAGUACAGGUGGAGCCCUUGAAAGAGACACACGGAUCAUGGUUAGUGCUCCAGAAACAUCAGCGCCUACUGCUUCUAUGAUUUUUCUACUCAGGAAGAACUUCCUGUGUUUCAGGCACUGGCUUUACUUCCUGUAUCAUUUGGUGCAGGCCUGCCAGCUGGUUGCUCACCACCUUUCUGAUCCUGGCAGCCCCUUCAGACUGUUGGCAACAGCGUCGUAKAUGACACAUCAUUUUUUUCUAGGGUGUGGGGGAACCUCAGGUGGUAGCAGUUUUCUGAGAAGGCGUCUGAACCGAGGAGUUGGUCUACCUUUGCUGUGAAAUCUCCUCCCACGAGGAAACCAAGAUUCUAAAUACAUAGAGGUGCACACACUUGCUGCCUCCCCACGCACUCCCUGACUCCUGCCCAGCAGGUGAGAAAGGGUAGUAGAUUCCGAGGUGUUUCCCAGCCUCUCCUGAGGAGCUUCUGGUCGAAUGCUCAGCUCUGGGCAAGUGUCCAGGGCCUGCAAUCUGAGGCUAAAAGUUGCAGCAGAAGGCCCCAAGAUCCCAAGUCGUACUUGGAGAUCCUGAAGGCUGUCCUAGGAGUCAUGAAGGUUCCCACUGAAACUCCAUUUGGUGCAGAUGUAAUCACAAGAUGUUUUAAAAGCUCAUCUGGAGAAAAUUUGGAGAAUAAAUUACCAGG
rnacentral:lncRNA from 1 species